CCCUUUUCCUUUUGAAGACCCAUUUACACCCUAUCGGUUUAAUCUCUUCAGGUGGAUCAACUAAUGUCUACAUAUCAUUGACCUUCAUAGACUCUAUUGCUAACUUCAUGGCUUCAAGCUAUUUAUCAGAGUCAAACCUCUACGUUGCAUCCAUAUAGGUGAUCGGAUCCUCAUUAUUUCCAUCGAGUUCAACAGGAUCCCCA
rnacentral:lncRNA from 1 species